AGAUUCUCCCCAAACGCCAAGGAUGGGGGUCAUGGCUCCCCGAACCCUCCUCCUGCUGCUCUUGGGGGCCCUGGCCCUGACCGAGACCUGGGCCGCGACUCCGUGAGUCCGAGGAUGGAGCGGCGGGCGCCGUGGGUGGAGCAGGAGGGGCUGGAGUAUUGGGACCAGGAGACACGGAACGCCAAGGGCCACGCGCAGAUUUACCGAGUGAACCUGCGGACCCUGCUCCGCUAUUACAACCAGAGCGAGGCCGGUAUGAACAGUUCGCCUACGAUGGCAAGGAUUACAUCGCCCUGAACGAGGACCUGCACUCCUGGACCGCCGCGAACACAGCGGCUCAGAUCUCCCAGCACAAGUGGGAAGCGGACAAAUACUCAGAGCAGGUCAGGGCCUACCUGAGGGCAAGUGCAUGGAGUGGCUCCGCAGACACCUGGAGAACGGGAAGGAGACGCUGCAGCACGCGGAUCCCCCAAAGGCACAUGUGACCCAGCACCCCAUCUCUGACCAUGAGGCCACCCUGAGGUGCUGGGCCCUGGGCCUCUACCCUGCGGAGAUCACACUGACCUGGCAGCAGGAUGGGGAGGACCAGACCCAGGACACGGAGCUUGUGGAGACCAGGCCUGCAGGGGACGGAACCUUCCAGAAGUGGGUGGCUGUAGUGGUGCCUUCCGGAGAGGAGCAGAGAUACAUGUGCCAUGUGCAGCAUGAGGGGCUGCCAGAGCCCCUCACCCUGAGAUGGGAGCCGUCUUCUCAGCCCACCAUCCCCAUCGUGGGCAUCGUUGCUGGCCUGUUUCUCCUUGGAGCUGUGGUCACUGGAGCUGUGGUUGCUGCUGCGAUGUGGAGGAAGAAAAGCUCAGGCAGCAAUUGUGCUCAGUACUCUGAUGCAUCUCAUGAUACUUGUAAAGUUAGCAUAAUGUGAGGAAAUGGGCUACUGGUCCACCACUGCCACCAGGACCACCACCCCACACUAACCUGUCCUCUCUUCCCCGGUCAAGUUUUUUUUCAACAGAGAGGACUAUGCCUGUUCCUGUUCUGGUGUCUGCGUUCUGAUCUCUUUCUCCCCUGGGUGUCCCUCAUCUCUGACAGCAGCAGGAGUCAUUUUUCCUGUCAUUAACCCCACAAGGUGGAAGGCAGCCCCUGCACACAGAAGUCUGUGGUAUUAAGAGAUGAAUUUUCAAGCCCGUGCAGCUUUUACCCUAUUUCCAGGGCUCUUUCUUGGAUUGUAUUUUCUAUCUUUUCCCCAACCUUUUUAAAGGAACUAGAUUCUGAAAUUAGCAGAGAAGAGGGAUGCCACAAGUUCUCAUCUUAGGUAACUUUCUAGUGGAACUCCUCUUCUGCUCAGCUCUCCUACCCACUCUCCCUUCCCUGAGUUGUAGUAAUCCUAGCACUGGCUCUAAUGCAAACUCAUGGAUCUAUAAAGCAAAGUCUAACUUAGAUUUAUAUUUGUUUGGAAAUUGGGAUUCAUAGUCAAAGAUUGUUCUUUCCUAAGAGGGAAAUAUAAUUGCAUGCUGCAGUGUGCAGAGGGUUGGUGUGAAGGAGGGAUGCAGGGAGGAAGGGAGGGAGGACACACAAGCAGCACUGCUGGGAAAAGCACAGGCGGCCUGGAUGUCAGUGUGAGGGGACCUUGUGCUGUCGUUGCUGCAAAACCGCAUUUGGCCUGAGGCUAUGUUAAUAAAGAUACUGCCUUUAGAAUAGGA
ensembl:lncRNA HLA-L major histocompatibility complex, class I, L (pseudogene)